CGCGAGGGACGCGCUCGACGGCCGUGGUGAGCCCCGUGCCCGUCCUCUUUCUCCUCCAUCCCCGUUCCCUCAUCUAACCCUAAAUCUCGCCCCAGCCGUCUCUUUCCUCCCCGCGCCGCCUGCCCCGGAUCUAGAGGAAGAGGAGGGAGGCAGGAUCUGGAGGAGGAAGAGGAGAUCCGGGCAUCCCGGCGGUGGCUCGACCGAUGCGAGGUGACGACGAGCUAAUGAGUGCCUCUUCGACUCCUUCCUCCGUCCUCGCCGCUGCCGCCGCUCCGACUCCUCUCUCCGUGCUCGCCGCCGCUGCCGCCUCUAUUUACGUCCUGCGGGAUGACGCCGCAGCUCCGUCUGACCGACCCUCAUGGAGGCGGUGCUGCCGGCCAUCGUUCUCAACCUGAGCUUGCCGCCCCCCUGCUUCUGGUGACUAGCAGCUAAAGGAAGGAGAGGGGAGCUCGACGGACUGCGUCUCAUACAGACCCACACGCCCCCUGACUUCGACAAGACCAGUGCAGUUUUGUUGAUCUACAUGCAUUUUCAGCAUUAUAGUAUUGACCCCUCGUCCGCCCCGGGUGCGGAGGCGAGCUUCCCGGCGACGGUGGCACUGGCUUGAGGCGGGGGAGCGGCUGAUGCAGGGUUGGAUCGAGGCAUGGGAGCGACGGAUGCGGGCGUCGACCUGCGAAGAGGCGAGAGGAGCGGUGGUUGCGGCGUUGAGCUGCGAAGAGGUGCCGCUCGGGCGCGAGACCACAGAGGCGGGAGCGGCUGCUUCGGGCCCCGGCCGUCUCAUUCACCGAUGACGGCCUCCUCGGCCUCAACAUCAAGGGCCGCCUUCUCGCAGAGAAGAACUUCAAGCUGAAGAGGAAGAGCGGCGCCGUCGAGUUCGCCUAGACCAUACUCGACUUCAGAAAGGGCCAAGACGUCAGGAUCAAGGCCGGAUACGAGCUCUAGCGCAAGGUACAAAGCUGAAAUGCUUGAUGAUGCGCCUCGUAUAUUCGAGGCUGUUUUCCAGUGUACCCUUGAGUUCUGCACUAUGCUCUGCUGGAUGUCGCCUAAGCAGAGGAUGCGGCAGUCUCGGCCACAUUUGGUUUUCCUAAGCUAAUGUUCUUUGUUGGUUCGUUCGACCAUGCCGUUAACCACCGUUAACCAACAAGGUUAGGUCUACUCAGAUUGCCUUGGGUUAUUACUUCUUGAUAAUAUAGGCCGUGAACUCCUGCAUUUGUGCGGCUAGGUUGCCUGUCUAUGUGUUUCGGGGUUCACCUUAUUAUGCUUGUCGUGCUUUGUAUGGGUUUUCCUCCAGAUCUUGUUAGAAAAAAAAUGUGUUCUUGAUUACUUAUGCUUGUUUUGGUGGUUUUCUUCCUGGGUGAUUGUGUGCUCAUAUGCCAUUGGUCGAUAUCCAUGUUUACAGCGGAUGCCCACUUUUCUUAGUUUCAUACCGAUUCUUAAUAGUCUUGCAAUGCCUGCUCGGGUUAGUUCUUUAAAUGAGUAGAGAUAAUAAAUGUAUGGGGUUUCCGAUAUCAAAUGUACCACCUGGUUAUUGUUUACCCAACUAAUACGUGCUGCUUGGUGAUAAAGGAAAAACAGCUAGAAAAAUAAUUAAUAAAGUGUACCAUCUGCUUAUUGUUUUAUACACAGUCGGCUUGAUUCUUUUGUGCCUCUAUAGGCCUCUGAUCAUGUCUGCAGUGUGCGGCUAGGUUGUUCGUCCGUCUGGGUCGUAGGUUCUUAGCCUGUUUUGUAAAGCCAAUGUAUGCUAUCACCAAGUGAUCUGAAUAUUUUCUUUCAAGCAUCAAGCUUUCGUGUAAUGGAAUAUAAGUAUUUUAAGUUGAUUCUAAAUCAAUCUCAUACACAUGCUUUGAAUGC